rfam:Oryza glaberrima chromosome 6 Oglab06_0084_3, whole genome shotgun sequence.
CUCCGGCCCAAUUGUGGAUUUUCGUAUCCAAUGUUUGACUGUCGGUUUUAUUUAAAGAAAUUAUGAUUGGUAUUUUAAUUGUUAUUAGAUGAUAAAACAUAAAUAGUAUUUUACGUGACUAUUUUUUAAUCCUUUUAGAAAAUUUUUAAAUAAGAUGAAGAGUCAAACAUUGAACACGGAAACUCACCGCUAUAAUUACA